GCGUGUGGCCGCCGAGCACAUGGACCCACUGGUCAAGCGGGCUCGGCAAGGCCAGGAUGAAGAGAAGCUACGAACUUAGCAUUCCCAGAGCCCCCCGAGUGGAUAUCCGCGUGGAAAGGAUGUUGGCAGCCCCGGUGACCUCGGAGUCACGGCUGGAUCCACCCUCUUGUCUGAUUUUCUUAACUCUACUACGGUAAGAAGAUGCCCUCCAUCAGCAGGCCGUGUCUGCUGGGACCUCUCUGGAGACUUCCUGAACCCUGUGGAUUUACAGUAAGAUGCAGUUUCCUGGGGAGUAAUUCUGGUGGAUACAAAUUCCGGAGUAUUACACCUGGCUUGCCUGGAGAUGUUACAAGUAGCUGGAUGGAUUCUUCAGCCUGGAUGCCCACUGAAAACAAGGACCGAAACUAAGAGGAUUGUAUCUCUACCCUUGACUCAAUGAGAAUGUUUGUUGUCAUCUCUCGGGCUACCUGGAGCUCCCUCUAAAAUUAUACCCUUUAAGCGUUCCAGAAGGAUUUUGAGAUCCUUUCCUAAAUCAAAGGUGGAAUAUUUGGGGAUUUGGAAAAUUGAGAUGUGAAGCGUUGACUUAAGAGAUGCCAAGUAACUCAGCAGAUGUCACACAGACGAUAAAUAGCAAAGAUGGAAGUCUUCAUGCCGGAGGCAAUCCUAUAAGACAGCUGAGUUCUGCAGAGCUGGAGACAGACUUGCUCAGGUGAUAGAUCCAGCCAUGAUACUGACCCUAAGAGAAUGAGACGCUCUGCAGAAGACAGAAGAUUCCUGAAACUGGGAAAGGUGCCUAGAAAUCCUGAUAAGAGUGAAGAAGGCUCGGCUCUCCAGUGUGGUUUUCCAACAGGAGUCAAAUAUUAAAGGACAUGAGCGUGUUGGGGAAAAAGAUGGAUAGUGCUAAACAGCCUGAGUUCAUCCUCACUAUCCUCUUCAUAAGGAGAGCAAGAACAACCCCGGAAAUGGCUCAUGCUUAAGGUUUCUAACCACGGUCACACCUACAACACACUGAUUGACAAUAUAGGUUACAGUACACAUGGCUCUGCUAUUUGCUUUUUGGUCACUUUGAUAUUCCCUGGUACCUGGGAAGAAGGAAUCUCCGUUGAGGAGUUGCCUACAUUUGAUUAGCCCGUAGGCAUGUCUCUGAGGCCUUUUCAUAGUUGCUAAUUGAUGGAGGACAGCUUAGCCCACUGUGGGUGGUGCCAUCUCCUGGACAUGGGGUCCUGGCUUAUAUCAGAAGGGAAGCUAAGCAUGCGCCUGGGAGCAAGCCAGUAAGUAGGUCUCCUCCAUGGUCCCUGUCUCUGCUCCUGCCCUUAAUUUCCUCAGCGAAUGACUGAUGCAAACAUGUAAGCCAAACAAACCCUUCUUUCCUCUCUGUUACUGUUGGUCGUGGUGUUUAUCACAGCAAUAGGAAAAAACACUAGGGCAGUGACGUAUAAGAGUGCACUGUGCCAUUGUGAGGAUUCAAUAUCCUUAGCGAUCUUCAGAAAAAGUUUACUAUGGUGCCUGGAGCAUUGUUAUUUGCAGAGAUCCCUAGUGGCUCCUGGGCCUCAGUUUCCCUGUCUUCAUUCUGUCUGUAUUAUAUAAGCAUGGUGUCCAUAGCUCUAGCUCUUGCUUAAUGAUUCAACUGAGUAGGUACAACCAUGCUGACCAGCCAUGACAUGUCCUGCCUGGCCAUAGCCUGGAGUUGGACACAGAAACAGGGGCAUAGCUGCCUACUGUGUGUGGCACAGUGUGUGUCAAACUCCUGGAGGCAGCCAGGCAGCCAUCUCUAUAUUCUUCCUAUCAGAAUUCCUUUCACAGGUCCAAGCCAUCUUAAGAUGGAUAAAGGCCUGGCCUUCAGGCAAGGCUAUGCCUGUCAGUUCCGAAUCUCCAGCUAAGUGGACUUGCAGCCCUCCCUGUCCUCUGGAUGUCUGCAUCAUUCAUACAAGGGACACGUUCUCUUUAGAGAAGAGCGUCUUCUGGGCUUCUCCCAGGUUGGAAGUGUCCUCUACUUCUUUCUUCCUGGCAAAAGCACUGGCCUAAGCAGCUCAGGAACAACCUACAAUAGAGGGAGGGCCUCUUACCUCGGAUGGAAGUGGAAACAUAGUCUCCACGUUGGAACUGAGUCUUGGUUAUGCUCUGAGAAGUAGCCUGGAUUUCUAAGAUCUCAUGCUCAUCGUUUUCUCUGGAGGCCCAACUCUGUUCUCAUGAGCCCUGGCACGUUCCCUACCAGCAUCUUUGUUUCCUAUCUGAGGAGUGCGGAUGAUGCUUCUCCUGGUAAGGGGUAUGAAUAGAAUUCCUGCCUGUGUUCUAUGUGCUGAAUCCCAGAGCCUAGAGUAGGGCCUGGGCUCUGGCGAUUGACUGGUAAACACUUGUUUUGGAAGAGAUAGUAGAGUCUUUGGAGUUCCUGGCACAAUCUUCUUGGAUAGUUGCCUGUGCCCGUUCUAAACCAGGAUCUGACUAAUUACAACUCCUCCUGCUUGCAUUAAAGUUUUAUUGGAACAUG
rnacentral:lncRNA from 1 species